rnacentral:piRNA from 1 species
UGGUUUAUGACCUUGCUGAGCUUCCACGGC